GUAUCUCUCAACGCCGCCAUCUAUGUCGACCUCUGCCAGCGUUGCCUAGAUCUGUAAUGCCAGCUACAAGUGGUCGAAAGAAAACAAACAUUUUGACGUUUUUUAACCGGUAUAAUGUUUUUUGCACAUGAAAAUCCGUCGGUUCGUUUAGAAAAGCUCAUCAAGAGAAAACUCGGUCGUACAAGAAGCUCGCGUAGUGCCUGUUUGUGCAGUUAAAAGUGCUUUUAGUUUUUGAUUUUUGUGUGUUUCUGUGUUGUUCUAGCGGUUUGUUAUCUAGAUUAAGUGUACAAAAGAAUUGUUUUUAUCCAUUGGAAUGGCUAGUGAAGUUUAAACCUGUUUUUCGUUGUUUUAUUAUGAAUUGUGACGUCAGAGUUUUUAAUUCGGUGUGAUAUCCGUGCAAUUUUUUAUAGUGUAGAAAAGAUGACGACGCGUGGCA
rnacentral:lncRNA from 1 species